GCCUGAUAAAAUUACUACUAAAUUUAGUCAUUGACUUUCUAGUGUGUUGGUAUAUUGCAAGUCAUGGAAGGAAAAUAUUAUAAUUUUUUUAGAGUUUAAUUUCUGUGACUUUCAAUGUAAAAGAUAGUAAAUUAUCAUGAAAAUUUAAUAAUUAGAUGACGGUAUAAAUCUUGUAUGAACUAUUUUUUCUAAUUUGUUUUAUUUGGUACCAUCAUAAUUAGGGUCUUAAGUUCUCUAGUGGUACCCACGAGCUUUUGUCCUUUAGAUCGAUUAUGAGACUAAUUCUUGAUUAGGACUUAGUCACACUUAAAACUCAUCACCUCUCUCCAAGAAUAUAUUUUGUGAGAGAUGAAACUUAGGUUCUCCUCCACAAACUAAGCUACACCUAUUAGAUAUUUUCUCUAAUUGUUAUACUAUAUCAUUAUGUGUGUGGGCGAGGGUCUUGGUUAUAGGUGGCCGUGCCUAACCAAUAAUUGAUGUACUAUGUUAUGUGUUUGUUGUCGAGAAAUGUCCAAACCGUGUAAGAAACUGGGGGCGUGACACAGGAUAAGAUAUUUAAGCAAAAUAGAAAACUACUUACACAGAAACAGUCUAGGAUGGCAUCUCUCACUCAAAAGAAAAGCAAAAGGCUUGUGUGUGUUGUGUGUGUACUGACACGUUAUUGUAAUGGCCACUGGAUUGUCAUUUGCGUGGACAUGAAUGGACCAAAUCAGGGAUGGUGGCAGGCAGCGCACUGAGGCUGAGCUAGGCACAUACGGGUCCACUCAGAUAAUGUAGCUAGAACUGGAAGCUAACCUUGGUAAUUCGACAAAAAACUACCAGAGCGCGUUAGAGAUUCUGGUUGGGGCUUUCUUCUCCGUCGGUUGUGCCCGUCUAACCGCUUCCUGCAGCUCCUUUUCCCCUCAUCAAAUUCCUCCAGUGAAUGGAACCUACACAAGGGUUCAUCAUUCAAACCACUACAGUCAGGCCUUAUGAAAGUCAUUUUCUCCCCCCCUAUUGCAGAAUCUACCGGUAUGUGGCUUUGUCAAUGCAUCAUCCAUCAAGUACAAUUAAAGCUAUAGCCUAUAUGACUUCAAGAGGGUGGUCUCCUAAAUUAGCAUCAUACUUAUUGUAAAUUAAAUUAACCAUUUACAAGUGUUUUUAAUGCAUAAGUUCCAGCUCAGCAUGGAAACCACCCACGAGAUAAUCAGGUAUCUUAGCAUGGAAUUAUCUUAAUUAAUCCGGCAGAAUUUUCCAGUAUAGUCUCCAUCAAUUGAGAUUCCUUUUUUUUGUUGA